rnacentral:rRNA from 1 species
UACGGAGGGUGCAAGCGUUAACCGGAAUUACUGGGCGUAAAGCGCACGUAGGCGGAUUUGUAAGUCAGGGGUGAAAUCCCGAGGCUCAACCUCGGAACUGCUGUCGAUACUGCUGUGGCUAGAGUCUGGUAGAGGAGAAUGGAAUUCCCGGUGUAGCGGUGAAAUGCGCAGAUAUCGGGAGGAACACCAGUAGCGAAGGCGGUUCUCUGGGCCAGUACUGACGCUGAGGAGCGAAAGCGUGGGGAGCAAA